GGGCCCGCACAAGCGGUGGAGCAUGUGGUUUAAUUCGAUGAUACGCGAGGAACCUUACCAGGGCUUAAAUGUAAGUUGCAUUAGUUAGAGAUAGCUAUUUCUUCGGACUACUUACAAGGUGCUGCAUGGUUGUCGUCAGCUCGUGCCGUGAGGUGUCAGGUUAAGUCCUAUAACGAGCGCAACCCCUACUGUUAGUUGCCAACGGGUAAUGCCGGGGACUCUAGCAGAACUGCCAGCGCAAGCUGAGAGGAAGGUGGGGACGACGUCAAGUCAUCACGGCCCUUACAUCCUGGGCCACACACGUGCUACAAUGGUAGUGACAGAGGGCAGCCACUAUGCGAAUAGGAGCUAAUCUUUAAAACCGAUCUCAGUUCGGAUCGCAGUCUGCAACUCGACUGCGUGAAGCUGGAAUCGCUAG
rnacentral:rRNA from 1 species